rnacentral:hammerhead_ribozyme from 1 species
ACUGACGAGUCCCAAACAGAACGAAACAGCUGUCC